GUAAUAGUAGCUCAAAAAGAAGCGUUGGUCUUGUAAACCAAAGGUUAAGUUUAUACUUCUAUUACU
rnacentral:tRNA from 1 species